rnacentral:rRNA from 1 species
AAAGGCGAUGGAGCUGUCGCUGGCCCUUGGCCGUGCACGCUCGUCGUCCCCUCAUUUCUCCAUCUCUUUGUGCAUCGCUUGUGUAGAUCAUUAGGACUGCUUUGCGAAUGGGGAGACCCUUUUGGUGGGGCUUUCCUUGGAUCUACGUCCUCUUCACAUGCUCCAGUGUAAUAAUUAGGAAGGAAAUUUAUGAAAUUGUUUAUACAACUUUCAGCAACGGAUCUCUUGGCUCUCGCAUCGAUGAAGAACGCAGCGAAAUGCGAUAAGUAAUGUGAAUUGCAGAAUUCAGUGAAUCAUCGAAUCUUUGAACGCAUCUUGCGCUCCUUGGUAUUCCGAGGAGCAUGCCUGUUUGAGGGUCAUUAAUAUCUCAACCACAUCUGUGUGUGUGGCUUGGACUUGGGGGGACAGUGCAGGGCCCUGAGUCCUGCUCCCCUGAAAUACAUGAGCGGCUUUGUGUGACCUCUGCUCUAGGUGUGAUAAAACAUAUCUGCAUCUGACCAGGGCUCCGAGCUGCCAAAGUGUCCCUUUGCUC